AGUGAACGCUGGCGGUAGGCCUAACACAUGCAAGUCGAACGGCAGCACAGGAGAGCUUGCUCUCUGGGUGGCGAGUGGCGGACGGGUGAGGAAUACAUCGGAAUCUGCCCAGUCGUGGGGGAUAACGUAGGGAAACUUACGCUAAUACCGCAUACGACCUUCGGGUGAAAGAGGGGGAUCGCAAGACCUCUCGCGAUUGGAUGAGCCGAUGUCGGAUUAGCUAGUUGGCGGGGUAAUGGCCCACCAAGGCGACGAUCCGUAGCUGGUCUGAGAGGAUGAUCAGCCACACUGGAACUGAGACACAGUCCAGACUCCUACGGGAGGCAGCAGUGGGGAAUAUUGGACAAUGGGCGCAAGCCUGAUCCAGCCAUACCGCGUGGGUGAAGAAGGCCUUCGGGUUGUAAAGCCCUUUUGUUGGGAAAGAAAUCUUUCAGGCUAAUACCCUGGGAGGAUGACGGUACCCAAAGAAUAAGCACCGGCUAACUUCGUG
rnacentral:rRNA from 1 species